AACGAACGCUGGCGGCAUGCCUAACACAUGCAAGUCGAACGAGACCUUCGGGGCUAGCGGCGCACGGGUGCGUAACGCCUGGGAACUUGCCCUUAGGCUCGCAACAACUGACCGAGAGGUGUGCUAAUACCGGUGAAUGUCUUAGGAGCAAUGAUUUAUCGCCCUUGGAUGGGCCCGCGUUGGAUUAGCUAGUUGGUAGGGUAAAAGCCUACCAAGGCGACGAUCCUUAGCUGGUCUGAGAGGAUGAUCAGCCACACUGGGACUGAGACACGGCCCAGACUCCUACGGGAGGCAGCAGUGGGGAAUAUUGGACAAUGGGCGAAAGCCUGAUCCAGCAAUGCCGCGUGAGUGAUGAAGGCCUUAGGGUUGUAAAGCUCUUUUACCCGGGAUGAUAAUGACAGUACCGGGAGAAUAAGCUCCGGCUAACUCCGUG
rnacentral:rRNA from 1 species